GUGGGGAAUAUUGGACAAUGGGCGAAAGCCUGAUCCAGCCAUGCCGCGUGUGUGAAGAAGGUCUUCGGAUUGUAAAGCACUUUAAGUUGGGAGGAAGGGCAGUAAGUUAAUACCUUGCUGUUUUGACGUUACCGACAGAAUAAGCACCGGCUAACUUCGUGCCAGCAGCCGCGGUAAUACGAAGGGUGCAAGCGUUAAUCGGAAUUACUGGGCGUAAAGCGCGCGUAGGUGGUUUUGUAAGUUGGAGGUGAAAGCCCCGGGCUCAACCUGGGAACUGCCUCCAAAACUACUGAGCUAGAGUACGGUAGAGGGUAGUGGAAUUUCCUGUGUAGCGGUGAAAUGCGUAGAUAUAGGAAGGAACACCAGUGGCGAAGGCGACUACCUGGACUGAUACUGACACUGAGGUGCGAAAGCGUGGGGAGCAAACAGGAUUAGAUACCCUAGUAGUCC
rnacentral:rRNA from 1 species